rnacentral:rRNA from 1 species
GAUGAACGCUGGCGGCGUGCCUAAUACAUGCAAGUCGAGCGAACGGACGAGAAGCUUGCUUCUCUGAUGUUAGCGGCGGACGGGUGAGUAACACGUGGAUAACCUACCUAUAAGACUGGGAUAACUUCGGGAAACCGGAGCUAAUACCGGAUAAUAUUAUGAACCGCAUGGUUCAAAAGUGAAAGACGGUCUUGCUGUCACUUAUAGAUGGAUCCGCGCUGCAUUAGCUAGUUGGUAAGGUAACGGCUUACCAAGGCAACGAUGCAUAGCCGACCUGAGAGGGUGAUCGGCCACCCUGGAACUGAGACACGGUCCAGACUCCUACGGGAGGCAGCAGUAGGGAAUCUUCCGCAAUGGGCGAAAGCCUGACGGAGCAACGCCGCGUGAGUGAUGAAGGUCUUCGGAUCGUAAAACUCUGUUAUUAGGGAAGAACAUAUGUGUAAGUAACUGUGCACAUCUUGACGGUACCUAAUCAGAAAGCCACGGCUAACUACGUG